ACGGGUGAGUAACACGUGGGUAACCUGCCCAUCAGAAGGGGAUAACACUUGGAAACAGGUGCUAAUACCGUAUAACAAUCGAAACCGCAUGGUUUCGUUUUGAAAGGCGCUUUACGGUGCCGCUGAUGGAUGGACCCGCGGUGCAUUAGCUAGUUGGUGAGGUAACGGCUCACCAAGGCCACGAUGCAUAGCCGACCUGAGAGGGUGAUCGGCCACAUUGGGACUGAGACACGGCCCAAACUCCUACGGGAGGCAGCAGUAGGGAAUCUUCGGCAAUGGACGAAAGUCUGACCGAGCAACGCCGCGUGAGUGAAGAAGGUUUUCGGAUCGUAAAACUCUGUUGUUAGAGAAGAACAAGGGUGAGAGUAACUGUUCACCCCUUGACGGUAUCUAACCAGAAAGCCACGGCUAACUACGUGCCAGCAGCCGCGGUAAUACGUAGGUGGCAAGCGUUGUCCGGAUUUAUUGGGCGUAAAGCGAGCGCAGGCGGUUUCUUAAGUCUGAUGUGAAAGCCCCCGGCUCAACCGGGGAGGGUCAUUGGAAACUGGGAGACUUGAGUGCAGAAAAGGAGAGUGGAAUUCCAUGUGUAGCGGUGAAAUGCGUAGAUAUAUGGAGGAACACCAGUGGCGAAGGCGGCUCUCUGGUCUGUAACUGACGCUGAGGCUCGAAAGCGUGGGGAGCAAACAGGAUUAGAUACCCUGGUAGUCCACGCCGUAAACGAUGAGUGCUAAGUGUUGGAGGGUUUCCGCCCUUCAGUGCUGCAGCUAACGCAUUAAGCACUCCGCCUGGGGAGUACGACCGCAAGGUUGAAACUCAAAGGAAUUGACGGGGGCCCGCACAAGCGGUGGAGCAUGUGGUUUAUUCCAACCACGCGAAGACC
rnacentral:rRNA from 1 species